rnacentral:misc_RNA from 1 species
GGCUUCAUGGUGCGGUCCCUGCCGUAUGAUUGACCCUGUGAUAGGCAAACUAUCAAAGAUCUAUGAAGGAAAGCUGCAGUUUUUCAAGCUUAAUACUGAUGACAGCCAGGACAUAGCGACUCAAUACGGGAUACGGAGCAUCCCGACGAUCAUGAUCUUCAAGAAUGGCGAGAAGAAGGAUGCUGUGAUUGGAGCUGUGCCAGAAAGUACUCUGGUUACAUGCAUUGAGAAAUUUGUAUAGGGUUAUGCGAUUUGGGUUCGAUGGAAUUCUCCUUUUAAGAACUUUUCUGGUCGGAGCUAAAUGCUGUGUGUAGGAUUUGAAGGUUUCUCUAUAGGUGAAUGUAAAUAUUUGCGGUGACAUUUGCUCUCCCGCCCAAAUAAAGGGUUUGUUUGGACUUCUGCA